rnacentral:rRNA from 1 species
CCUACGGGAGGCAGCAGUGGGGAAUUUUGGACAAUGGGCGCAAGCCUGAUCCAGCAAUGCCGCGUGAGUGAAGAAGGCCUUCGGGUUGUAAAGCUCUUUUGUCAGGGAAGAAACGGCUGAGGUUAAUACCUUCGGCUAAUGACGGUACCUGAAGAAUAAGCACCGGCUAACUACGUGCCAGCAGCCGCGGUAAUACGUAGGGUGCAAGCGUUAAUCGGAAUUACUGGGCGUAAAGCGUGCGCAGGCGGUUUUGUAAGUCUGUCGUGAAAUCCCCGGGCUCAACCUGGGAAUUGCGAUGGAGACUGCAAAGCUGGAGUCUGGCAGAGGGGGGUAGAAUUCCACGUGCAGCAGUGAAAUGCGUAGAGAUGUGGAGGAACACCGAUGGCGAAGGCAGCCCCCUGGGUCAAGACUGACGCUCAUGCACGAAAGCGUGGGGAGCAAACAGGAUUAGAUACCCUGGUAGUCCACGCCCUAAACGAUGUCUACUAGUUGUCGGGUUUUAAUUAACUUGGUAACGCAGCUAACGCGUGAAGUAGACCGCCUGGGGAGUACGGUCGCAAGAUUAAAACUCAAAUGAAAUUGACCGG